rnacentral:rRNA from 1 species
GAUGAACGCUGGCGGCGUGCUUAAUACAUGCAAGUCGAACGGAGGUUGUAGCAAUACUGCCUCAGUGGCGAACGGGUGAGUAACGCGUUGGUGACCUGCCUCGAAGUUGGGGAUAACAGUCCGGAAGGAUUGCUAAUACAGAAUGUGAUCAGUGGGAUUAGACGCCCGCUGAUGAAAGGCGAAAGCCGCUUCGAGAGGGGCCUGCGUCCCAUCAGCUAGUUGGUAGGGUAAUGGCCUACCAAGGCGAUGACGGGUAGGGGACCUGAGAGGGUGGCCCCCCACAAUGGAACUGAAACACAGUCCAUAAACCUACGGGUGGCAGCAGUAGGGAAUAUUGGUAAUGGGCGAAAGCCCGACCCAGCAACGCCGCGUGUGCGAUGAAGGCCUUCGGGUUGUAAAGCACUUUUUAACGGGAUGAGGAAGGACAGUACCGUUAGAAUAAGCCUCGGCUAACUACGUGCCAGCCGCCGCCGUAAUAC